UCCUUUGCCCUUUUUCUUUCUGCCUGGAAUGUGGACUUGAUGCCUGGAGGUGAGGCAGCCAUCUUGAGACCAUGAGGUCCAAAGCCACAUGCUCAGAAUGGGGGAGCAGGAAGAAGGAAGAUGCUUGAGUCCUUGAGCAGCUGUGCCAGCACUGGGCCAUUCAGCUCUGGACUUCUUGUUGUGUUUGUCCAAGCCAUUGUGUGUUGAAUAUUCUGUUCCUUUCAGCUGCUUCCCUUCCUAACUGAUGUAAUGGUAGCAUACACUGCACUAACCCUUCAGGAUCUUACUUCUUCACUUGAUAUAUCUCGGAGGUUGUUACAAAGCAAUAUACACAGAGCUGCCCCAAACUUUUCAAUAAAUGUGUCCAAGACUUUGUGUAGAUGCCCCAUGGAGUCUUUAGCAAGUCUCCUCUUGGUCCACAUUUGGAUUGUUCUCAACUUUUUGCUAUUGCAAACAAUACUGCAAGAUCAGCCAGGUCCAUAUUUCAUUUCCCACGUGGAAGGGUACAUCUACAGGAUAGGAUUGCUGAACGAACGGUCAGGUGCCUUUUAAAUGUUCCUGGAUGUUGUCAAAUUGCCCUGCAGGGAGGCGUGGCUGAUUUGCGCUCCACCAGCAAUGCGCCAGAGGCCCCACACGCUGUCUCUAGUCCCUGCAACAACGACCUACGAUCACGCCCAUCUGCUGAGGCUCAGGGAAUCGUCCGUGGUCUGCCCAAAGGCAGGGCAGGUAGCUGCCGGAACUGCAUUGGAACCAGGGUCUGGCUGACGUCAGAGCUACGCUCGCUCCCGGGAGGCACUGCCGAAGGCCAGGAGAACCUUGCCAGAGGACCACACCCUGUGCAGGUGACGCAAAUUCUCUGAGGCUGGUGAUGGGAAAACUCAGUAAGGGGCACCAGUGGGCAGCAGAGGAAACGCCUGGGUGGUGGAGUGGGUUUGGAGGUCAGCUGUGUGACCUUGGGCAAGUGCCUUAACCUCUCUGAGAUGCAGUCUUCUCAGCUGAGAUCAGAGAUAACUGCUUGUAGAGUUGAGAUGUGAAGCUUAAGUAAGAUAUCACCGUGAUGGGUGAGGAGAAACAAGAACCGGAAGGCACCUGAAUGCAGGUCUAAUGAAAUAAAUCAUGGCGCAUCCACGGCCUGGAAGCUUAUGGAGCCAUUAAAACAAGUGAGGUCAAUGUAUUUUUGCUGAUGUGGAAAGAUCUCUAAGAUUUAUUAAUUUAUUAAAAAUGAAAAAGCAAGGUACAGAAUGGUAUGUAUGACAUAAUCCCAUUGGUAUUAGGAAAAAAACUGAACUUUCAAUAUAUCCUUAUUGAAAACCUACUACUUGCCAGGCACCGUUCUAAGCAGUGGGAAUACAGCAGUGGACAAAACACACAAAAAUCCCUAUUUCCCCGGAGCUGGGGGAAUGUGACUAUAAAAAUACAAACACAUGAAGAUUUUAUAAGGAUGCACAAGAAAAUGGUUUCUCCUGAUCCUGGAGCUGUGGGACGAGACUUCUCUCUUUCCACUGUAUACCCUUUGGUAUUGUUUGAGUUAGUCUUUACUGUGUGUCUGUAUUCAUUUUAAUCAUCAGUUUUUAAAAGACUGGAUCAAAAAAUGAGAGAGAAGGCAAAGUGCAGUGUUUGGCCCCCUGGGAAUGGUUGCUUUUAUGGCGAUCACAUAGUCAGUAACUAUUUCUUGAGCACCUACUGUGUGCCCGUACUGUGCUGGGUGCUGAGGACACAGUUAUGAGCCAGAAAGACAAGAAACUGGCUCUCAGGGAGCAGACACUCAUUGCGGGGACACAGACUUUAGAGAAGUAACUACAAGUGUCAUUAGUGUUACAACGAUGACGCCCAGGGGAUUAUGGAGGCGUGAGAACCUAACAGAGGGGAGGCCUACAGAUCUGGGGGGCUGGCCAGGGGCCAGGAGCCUGGGCGCCAGCCCUCUCUCCCCCGACAUGACUCCCCCCCUGCUGUUCACAGGGUGUGGCCCCCGUGUGGCUCUGGAGCUAACAAGAACAGCUAACAUUGACUGAGCGCUUACAACCAACCGGGCAUUCUGUAAGCACUUUACAUGCAUUAACUUAUUUAAUCCUUACUAAAACUCUACGAGGUAGAUUCUAUUUUUCUCCUCAUUCUACAGAUAAGAAAGCCAAGGCACAGAGAGGAUGAGUCACUUGCCCAAGGUCACACAGCUGCUAAGUGGCAGAACGAGAGUUGAAACCCAGGUAGUCUGCUCCAGAGCCCACACUUGUAACUACCUCCUUCUGUGAUUUUUGUCUCCUUUUCCUCGUCUGCCCUGCUCAUCAGGGGCAGUCCUCCACCUCCACGCCCUCCCCUAGACACGAGGAUGGCCCUCUGGUCCCACCUCAGCAGAACACGCGAGGACGGAGGACAAUCCUCUGCACCCUCACCUGCCCCCGGGGCUCACAGGCGUCCCGGCUCUGCCCUCAGAGCCCAAGAGGAAGAGAGAGAGGGCGGGCAGGAACCACCAGCAGCACACUGGCCCCUUUGCUCGCCUGUCCCUUAGGGAUAAGCACCUGAGUUGACUCUUAAUGCCCAACGAUCCAGACGGAAUCUCAUUCCAGCCCCUGAAUGAGCCCUGCCCUGGGUCACACACUGAGUCCUAAUUCUGGUCACACUGAAUCCUGACUCUGCCCACAGAUUCCUUCGUGACCUGGUCCUAGUCUAAGCCCUGACGCUGGUCACAACAGAGUCUUGCCCUUGGUCACAGACCGAGCCAUCGUCCUGGUCACACACUGAGCCCUGGUCCUGGCCACAGAGUCAACCACGACUUGAUCCUAGGGCAGAAAGGACUUCUGCAAAAUGGGGGCAGACCCACUGACCACUCGAGUAAGAGAUGGUGGCUGGGAAAACACCUAGCGCGACAGUAGGAGCGCACGAAUUGCAAAUGUCCUUCUGAUGGAAAUUCAAGCAGAGCCAGCUUUGCCCCCCUGCUGCACCGCCUCCUGCAUGUGACCCUGGGUAAGCUACCUCAGCUGGCUCAGCCUCACGUUUCACAUCUGUGCAAUGGGAGCAGUGGCAGAACCCUCAUUCCAGGGUGGCUACAAGGAUUCAAUGACACGAUGGGUGUAAAAAAUCUGGCAUGGAGUAGGUGUGCAAUGCAUUUUAGUCCUGUCUCCUUUCUUUCCUCCUUUCUUUUUUUUCUCAAAGCAUAUUAUUAUUUCCAUGGGGUCUUACAGUAACCCAGCCAAACGCAGAUUGCAGUCCAAAUUUUCCAGGUAACAUCCACCUGAAACCAGCCUCUUCUCUCUGAGCCUCAGUUUCCCCCAUUUGUAAAAUGCUAGCGAAGGACAAGAGGAGAUGUCCCUAAGAGCCCUUUCAUCAUCGUCAUCACCAAAGCCUCCGGUGAUCUCAAACAUCUGAUUGCAUCAUUUCAGCACGCAUUGCCCCUUCCCAACUGCUCCCUUGUCUGCUGGGGAUCCAUGUGGUCCUGAGGAAGCUGACUCCACCCCCUGCCCAGGGAUCAGCCAAUCAGCACGUUGCAUCCCCUAGAUGAACGCAUUGUAUCUUCUAGCCACAGAGAUUGCUCAGAGUGGGGCAUGUGACUUCAGCUAGUCCAGUGGGAUUGACUUCUGAGACUUUUGCUGGAAUGCGGGAAGUCCGCUUUCUUCUGCAUGACGCAGUCUGUGAAUGUGAAGCCUGAAGUGCCUUUGAGACACCCACGAGGGGAGCCAGCCCAAGGGCAAAACUGACUCACGGGAAGGGCCAAGCAGAGUAAAUCACAGACCUUCUGGAGACAUCGUGACCCCUCCCCCACCCCUGUAUCAACCCUCACCGGGAUUUUUCCGUGAUCUCCAUCCAAUAAACGUCCUUUACUGUUU